AUUGAACGCUGGCGGCAGGCCUAACACAUGCAAGUCGAACGAGUGGCGGACGGGUGAGUAAUGUCUGGGAAACUGCCUGAUGGAGGGGGAUAACUACUGGAAACGGUAGCUAAUACCGCAUACCAUCAGAUGUACCCAUAUGGGAUUAGCUUGUGGGUGGGGUAACGGCUCACCUAGGCGACGAUCCCUAGCUGGUCUGAGAGGAUGACCAGCCAAACUGGAACGGAGACACGGCCCAGACUCCUACGGGAGGCAGCAGUGGGGAAUAUUGCACAAGGGGCGCAAGCCUGAUGCAGCCAUGCCGCGUGUAUGAAGAAGGCCUUCGGGUUGUAAAGUACUUUCAGCGGGGAGGCGUUACCGGCAGAAGAAGCACCGGCUAACUCCGUGCCAGCAGCCGCGGUAAUAC
rnacentral:rRNA from 1 species